rnacentral:tRNA from 1 species
GUUUCUGUAGUGUAGUGGUUAUCACGUUCGCCUAACACGCGAAAGGUCCCCGGUUCGACACCGGCAGAAACA